rnacentral:misc_RNA from 1 species
GGUCAUCGAUCAACAUGGCGGAGAAGAUAACGGACCGAGAACUCGUGGAGGAACUGAAGCGGUUUGGAGAAACAGUGAGUCUGCCAUUUAAGCUGGGCAAGCGGCAGAUAUACAUUAAAAAGCUGAAUCAUCACAAAUCUAAGGCAAAUAGUGGAGAUCAGACAACCAGGAAGUCCUCAAAGCGUGCACACCUCGAUGUUUUGAGCUCCGAUGAUAGCGACUUCGAAAGCGCGGGUCAGACUGACCGACAGAGAUCCAAGAUCGUUAGUGGAGUAUCCAAGUCACUUAGACGCAGAUCUACGGCAAACACACCCAUCACACCCCCAAAACCUAAACCAUCUAGCAACAGAGUGUCGUUAGGACGGCCAAGUUUGCGGUCCAGGAAAUCCGAACAACAAACAGACGACUCGCCUCGUAUCACGAAAUUAGAAGCACGUCAAUCUACAUCACGAUUGUAUCCCGAUUUGAGUGACCUGAACGCAUCUGGCAGCCUUGGAAACAGAUCCAGAAUAAACGAGACAUUUGAGUCGUCUGACUCCGAUCUGGAAGAAAGUACAUACGAGGUUGAGAACAAGUCUGUGAACACGACAUUUACCAUUGAAAGCAACAACAGUUUAAAUGAUGGCAGGUCGCCGAAUAGGUCGCAUCAGACAAAGUCCAACACAACUUACUCAAAUCAUGUCACCCCAGUCACACAUGCUAACUCCAAACGUCACACAACAAAUCAUACAUCAUCCAAGCAUGUGAAUGACUCGAAGAAAAAUUACAAACUCUACCCUGAGCAUGUGUCUGGAGGUUUGCUAGUUAUUGUUGGAGGGUUCUUCCUGGUCCUGGCUGUCAGUUACCUCUUUGUAAGGAAAGAUGUCAUCUUAGCAUGGUACAGCGGGAUCGGAGAUGUGAAAGCAGCUCCAAAGAGUACUUAUCUUCUUUGUCUGGACACAACUGAGGGUUGUUAUGGAGAGCCGGUUGUGGAGAAGACGAUGAUUGUCAUUCGGGAUUUGUAUGACGUGUUAAGCAGUAAGAAAGGGUUAGUAGUGUGUGGCUCUGCUGAGGAGUGGGAGAAGAACAUGUCUGUGGAACAGUUCAGAACUUACGUGAAGAACAUCAAGAACAAUGAUGUGGUACGUAAAGGCGAGAAUAUUGAGGAGUUGGUGAAGUCCUGCCUGGAUCACAUUGUGUUGAAUCCACACUGGAACAUUAGAGCAGUGGACAAGGAAGGAGAAGACACCAGGACACGACAGUACAUCAAGCACUUGGAAUCAAAUGUUGCCUCCAUGGCGCUCCUAUGUCGCCUUCAGAGGUCCUUCUACCGGGUCACAGGGGCUCUCACCAUCUUAAUCAUUGGCUGUGUGCUGGUGUUCAUGCUGCUGAAGUACCUCAAGUGGCGGAGUCUGGCGAAGGAGCAGGAACUGAGACAUGUGUAUGCCAUGGUGGAUGAGAUCAUAGAUAUUCUCAAAAGACACCAUGAUGUGACACAAGGGGAGAACGGGAGUCACAAUCAGUUUCUGGCCGUGCAGCACGUGCGAGACCAGUUGCUGCCUCCGUCUCGGAGGAAGGAGCUGCAGCCUGUCUGGGAUAAGGCGGUCCUGUUCAUUGAGAAGAAUGAAUCUCGCAUCCGUCUAGAAGAACAAACCAUUGAGGGAGAGGAGUUCCGAGUCUGGAGAUGGAUACAUAAUUCUCCAAAUGGCGGCAAAGUUUGGCAAGGUCAAGCCUUUGGUGAACACAAUGACGACAGCUCCAACACUGUGAUGUAUUGUCCAACGCCAUGUCUGAAGAUCCGCAACAUGUUUGAUGCCGACGUUGAGGGCGAGGAUCCUGCAUGGGAGGUCAAUAUUCAGGACGCCCUGCUGGAGAAGUGCAAGAACAUUGACAGCAUCUUUCACAUCUUUGUCGACAAGGAAUCAAGGGAGGGCUGUGUCUACAUGAAGUGUUCCUGUUGUGAGGCUGCUGGCCGGGCAAGACAGGCUCUGCAUGGAUGGUGGUUUGACCGUCGCCUUGUGACUGUCCGGUACCUGAAGUUGGAUUACUACCAUAACAGAUUUCCAGACUCGGUCAACAUGAAGAAUCCACUCCUCCCAUCAACCAAUCAGAUGUCCUCACUCUCUCAACCAUUUUACAGAUCUUCUCUUGAAAUGACCUAAUAAGGUCAUUUUAGUGUCAUGUGAUCAACUGAAGUGUGCCUUCUGGGUUAUUCAAUGUGGUUUGGCAGUUGUGAUUGGUUGACAGUCCAUGUCUUAUGUAAACAAUUGGCCCAGUAAUUUUCACAACAUAAAUUUAUGGCCAUUCAUGGAUCUUUGUGACAUAGAUGGAUGUCUGGUCCAGUCUAAAGAUCCGGACAUGGUUGCCGGUUGCCAAGCAACCAAUGAAUCCCCGCCUAUACAGGUCAAACACACUGAUGUAGUUGUCGGAGGCAGAACAUUUAUCUAUCUCUCCUUGUUACCAUGGUUACCGUUAGAACGCACAUUGUUUCCAAUAAGAACUUUAAGGGGGACUAAGCUCGGGCAAACUAGCAGUCCUCAUUUAAUUCAAGUCAAUUAAACACCAUUCUAGUUAUAUGCUAACCCCAAGUGUAUGAUGUACAUCAAGCUUGCAGUUAAUGGGUACUUUAAAUGCCCUCACAAGCACUGGUUACUUCGAGACCUAGAACAUGGGUCCCAAGCCGUGGAGCAUCGUCCCCAUCUUAAGCCAAAUACCAUGAUAGCUUAAAUUCUGUGGAUAGCUUAUUUAAUAGUGCCCUGGAUUCUUACUGUCACAAUAUGGCUGGAAUUGUAACUCACUCACCCUAGAUUCUACCAUGACAACGUGAUUUCUUAGUGAUUGUGAUGCCGUGAUAUAACAGGAAUACUGUUCCAAGCGGUGUUAAACAUGAUUUCUUAGUGAUUAUGACUCCGUGAUAUAACAGGAAUACUGUUCCAAGCGGUGUUAAACAUGAUUUCUUAGUGAUUAUGAUGCCGUGAUAUGACAGGAAUACUGUUCAAGGCGGUGUUAAACAUGAUUUCUUAGUGAUUAUGACGCCGUGAUAUAACAGGAAUACUGUUCCAAGCGGUGUUAAACAUGAUUUCUUAGUGAUUAUGACGCCGUUAUAUGACAGGAAUACUGUUCAAGGCGGUGUUAAACAUGAUUUCUUAGUGAUUAUGACACCGUGAUAUGACAGGAAUACUGUUCAAGGCGGUGUUGAACCCAACUCACAUUCUCACUUUAGUGAUUACGUUUCAAUCAUCAUGUCAGGACCUCACUGUAGCUUGUAUAAUCCUGGAAUAUUUAUCAGAAUGUAUAUGUGAGUUUUUACGUGAUUAAUGCAAACGUGUAUGCGAGGCAAAUCGUCAUCUGGUGUUGAGCCCUGUUUAUUACAGCCAUUUUAGGCGGCAACUGUUAAAGACCUGUGUUAUAAAAGGAUCAUAGCUUGAAAACUGCUGGGGGUAUGGGUGACCCAGUCAUCUAAGGCAUCACAAUUCGCUGUGCAGAGUUCUGUCCCUUAGGCAUGCCAGAAAAAUGUGAUUGUGGGUUUCGAAUCCCGGUUCGUCUUUCUAGGUUUGUCAGCCCAUAUACCUACUGGUGGGUUUCACCAAAGUCGUAGACGUUUGAGACCUGCCUCUUUAAAGGCUUUUCUCCCACAUUAAGCUGACACGCCGUGAUGUAACUGGAAUACUGUUCAAAGCCAACAGAUUAACUUACUAAGAUUGAUUUCUUAAACAGAGCCUUCAUUAACUGGGGUCAGCAGGUUUGUUAAUAUUGCACUAAGGGAGACAACUCACUUUACUGGGUAAAAUUUGGCUGCAGGUGAAAGUGUGCAGGGUCUGAAAUACUUCAAUGCAAUUUGUUUGCUUUGUCAGUAGCUGGUGUGUCAGUGUCUUGAGAGCAUUCAAGGGUUCACGAAGAGUUCAAGACCAGUAGGGUUGACAGAAGUCAAGUCUAGUGGGGUUGACCAUGAGGCCAGACCAGUGGGGUUGACUGAGAAAUUAAGUCUAGUGGGGUUGACAGAGAAGUCAGUCUAGUGGGGUUGACCAUGAGGCCAGACCAGUGGGGUUGACCGAGAAGUCAGUCUAGGGGGGUUGACAGAGAAGUCAAGUUAAGUGGGGUUGACCAAGAGGCCAGACUAGGGGGGUUGACCAAGAGGCCAGACCAGUGGGGUUGACUGAGAAAUCAAGUCUAGUGGGGUUGACCAAGAGGCCAGACUAGGGGGGUUGACCAAGAGGCCAGACUAGGGGGGUUGACCAAGAGGCCAGACCAGUGGGGUUGACUGAGAAAUCAAGUCUAGUGGGGUUGACAGAGAAGUCAGUCUAGUGGGGUUGACCAUGAGGCCAGACCAGUGGGGUUGACUGAGAAAUCAAGUCUAGUGGGGUUGACCAAGGAUCCAAGUCCAGAUUGCCCACAGCUGCAGUUAUUGUGAAGUUAAAAACAACAAAUACUGUUUCCUGAAAUACAAGGUUGACAAUAAAAACACUUUUCCAGUAAUUAUUCAACAUGUUGAAUCAUUGGACAGAAAAAUCAGAUGUAAUUGUAAUUUCUAAUUGAGACAGUAGUGAAAUCUGAUGAGGAACUGGUGAAGUUACAUCAAUUCCAAGAUAAGCAGACGCCUUCAGUAAAAUUGACCUUGAAAGAUGAACAGGUUUAAUACUUUAGCCUGCCUGGAGUCCCACCAUGCAGUAUGUCUCAAGGCGUGAUACGCAUGGCUGGGGCUAUGUGAAUAGAAGACCCCCUAGCCACCGCAAGACCCAACUCGCGGUUCCAAUACUGUUGUGUCCGUCGUAAGACAAGUCUUGAGCAGGUUCCAAUACUGUUGUGUCCAUCGUAAAACAAGUCUUGAGCAGGUUCCAAUACUGUUGUGUCCGUCGUAAGACAAGUCUUGAGCAGGUUCCAAUAUUUAUUCAGGAAUCGUGCACAGCAUCUGAGAUGGCUGACCCCGGCGAGCACAUGUUUUGGUUUGGUUUGUUGUUUUACGCCACACUCAGCAAUAUUGCAGCUAUAUGACGGCGGUCUGUAAAAUAAUCGAGUCUGGACCAGACAAUCCAGUGAUUGACAUCAUGAACAUCGAU